AUGCUCGAAGAAUUCUGCCAAAACUUUGAAGAGGAGACUAGUCGAGUGGAGACUGGCUUGGAUCCUAUCAAUUCUCCGGUGACGGAUGAAACCGCUAUGAACGUGCUUCGCCUCGAGUCUCGCAUUGCUGCAGUGGUCGACUACCUUGCAAGACUGAAGGCCGCAACAUCGCGCAUCGACACAUCGCUCUGGCCAGAAGAAACGCUUCAGAACGACCUUCAGUCGCUGAUGACUCGACUGAACGAAGUUCCGAGUCGAGUGCAAGAAUGGAAGAAGUCUUCUGCCAGGUGCGGUGCUGACGUUGCUCUGUCCUUGGUCCACGUCCACUGCAAGGAAGCGAGAGAAGACAAGCUGGUGUCUCUCAAGGUGGCCAACACUAGGAAGCAUGACUUCCGUUCUUUCAUGGAGACCUUCAUCGCGGCUGCCACUCGGAUCGCAGAUGGGAUUGACCUAGACGAGUUCAUUGCGCCUUCCAGCCCUCUACAGGAGGGGUAA
rnacentral:rRNA from 1 species